rnacentral:lncRNA from 1 species
GAUCAAAGCCCAUACCGCAUACUCAGCUUUAAAAGGCCCCGAAAUGACGAUGUAAAACAAUUCAAACGAGAAAACUAGCGGCCUUAUUUGUGUACAAAAAAUGAGCGAAAAACAAAUAUGUAACACAUCAACAAAAGACAACCACUGAAUUACAGGCUCCUUACUUAAAUGUUCACAACAUACUAAAGGUAUGUUCAUAUUAAAAUUGAUAGAAAACCAAAAAUUAGGAAUUUAGGAAAUAUAGGAGGAGGGAUAAAAAAAA